UGCGGAGGGAUCAUUACACAAAUAUGAAGGCGGGCUGGAACCUCUCGGGGUUACAGCCUUGCUGAAUUAUUCACCCUUGUCUUUUGCGUACUUCUUGUUUCCUUGGUGGGUUCGCCCACCACUAGGACAAACAUAAACCUUUUGUAAUUGCAAUCAGCGUCAGUAACAAAUUAAUAAUUACAACUUUCAACAACGGAUCUCUUGGUUCUGGCAUCGAUGAAGAACGCAGCGAAAUGCGAUAAGUAGUGUGAAUUGCAGAAUUCAGUGAAUCAUCGAAUCUUUGAACGCACAUUGCGCCCUUUGGUAUUCCAAAGGGCAUGCCUGUUCGAGCGUCAUUUGUACCCUCAAGCUUUGCUUGGUGUUGGGCGUCUUGUCUCUAGCUUUGCUGGAGACUCGCCUUAAAGUAAUUGGCAGCCGGCCUACUGGUUUCGGAGCGCAGCACAAGUCGCACUCUCUAUCAGCAAAGGUCUAGCAUCCAUUAAGCCUUUUUCAACUUUGACCUCGGAUCAGGUAGGGAUACCCGC
rnacentral:rRNA from 1 species